rnacentral:lncRNA from 1 species
UGCAAGGUAAAGCCCCUCUCAUACAUAUAGUAAAUUGCAGUCCUAAGAUGCACAUUACUCUGUGCAUUCUUAUCUAUACUGUCGCGUCUUAUCUUCACCGACCCAUUCCCCAGCCGAGUUUCUUGGUGAUUCCCUGAUGCCAAGGUGGUCAUCGUAAUGACCCAGCAACAUCUCUUCAACAGCCUUAUUCUCUCUUCUCCUCCUGACACAUACUAACAAGUUAGCUUACUAACUUUUAGCUUCCAUCUCAUUUGCAAUAUAAUAACCUUGUAAACAUGUAUUUCUUCAUUUCCAUAGCCAACUGAAAUUAUUAACUAUAUGCAUACUAACUGAUUUUGAAAAUAACCAAAUCACAGUUUACACCUUAUACCAAUUGUUUUUGCAAAAUCUAAUAUACUAACUGUUUUCGAAAACCAAUUACCAAUCUUUGCAUAUUCAAUUCCCAUAACUUGAUAGCAUAACAUAAUCAUUAUCAAAACAAAACCCAUAAUUAAUUCAAUACAUAUUAUACUAACAAAUAAACAAACCCAUCUCUGUUAGCUAUCUUUGAUAAUUUCCAUAUAUCUAACUAUUUUGCAUACAUAUAACCAUAUGACUGAUAUGAGCUAACUUCCAAUUUAAUUACCAUACAUAUUACCAUGUAUUCUAUUUCUAAUUACUGGAUAACAUGAUUAUUAAUAAUCCACACAAUUCCAGAAUUCCUAUCUUUAAAUUCCCAUCCACGAAAUCAAUCCAAUUUAUACACUAACUGAUUGUUUUUGCAAUUUAUGUUUAUGUAAUCAACAUUUGAUAAUCUCUUCUUUCUAUAAGAACAUAUAAUAUCAUAUAAAUCCAAAAAUAUACAGAUAAAUUGCUUGCAGCUAAACACAAAAACAUAUAAUAUCAUAAACCCACAAAUAUAAAUCGGUAAAUUCUAGAUCUAGUCUAAUCCGGUUCAUAAACCCUUAAAAUAUCUUAUUGAAACGAGAGCGGAAAAUACCUGAGACAGUGAGAUGAGGACGUCAAGGAGAAUAGAGUAGGGUUUUAGCCUUUUUAGGGGAGAGGAGGAACUGCCGAAGUGCCGAUCUGUGAAGAAGUGAAGUGAGGUCGAGGAGAAUAGCGUCGAUCGAUCGAAGUGAAGUGAAUUGAGGUGGUGCUGUAUCAGACUCUCUGGUCUCAGACUCUCAAUCCCUUACUCCCUUUAUUAUGCCGGUAUUUAGCCCUCAGCGAGGAGUCAGGAGAUUAGAGAUAGAGAUAGAGAUAGAGAUAGGGUUUUUAUAAAUGAUCGGGCGGGCCGGG